CGCGGGCCGGCCCGGUCUCUGCCAGAUUCGUUUUCCGGAAAAGCAUCUAGACUGAAGAAUCAUCUAAGUAAUAAGACUGCUUGAAUCCUCGCAGUGAAGGUCGCAGUGUCUGACCACUUCACUUUGAGUGAGGUGUGGUAUGAGCGCUGCACCAGCUCCCCUUCCUGAACCUGAACCGUGUAAACAAAAGAAACCUGCAUCGUGUAAAGGGACAUCGAAGAAGAAGAUGGGGAAAUUUGCGAAAUUUUUCAUGGGUUAAGAAACUGACGUCGCAACAAGUAACACAUAACAUCAGGAAGGAAUUGUGUGCGUAGGCCACAUUAUUAU